CCGGCGAGUGGCGAACGGGUGAGUAAUGCAUCGGAACGUACCCAGUAGUGGGGGAUAACUUACCGAAAGGUAAGCUAAUACCGCAUACGCACUGAGGUGGAAAGCAGGGGACCGCAAGGCCUUGCGCUAUUGGAGCGGCCGAUGUCGGAUUAGCUAGUUGGUGGGGUAAAGGCCUACCAAGGCGACGAUCCGUAGCGGGUCUGAGAGGAUGAUCCGCCACACUGGAACUGAGACACGGUCCAGACUCCUACGGGAGGCAGCAGUGGGGAAUUUUGGACAAUGGGCGCAAGCCUGAUCCAGCCAUGCCGCGUGAGUGAAGAAGGCCUUCGGGUUGUAAAGCUCUUUCGGCCGGGAAGAAAUCGUGGUGGCGAAUACCUGCCAUGGAUGACGGUACCGGACUAAGAGGCACCGGCUAACUACGUGCCAGCAGCCGCGGUAAUACGUAGGGUGCGAGCGUUAAUCGGAAUUACUGGGCGUAAAGCGUGCGCAGGCGGUUGUGUAAGACAGGCGUGAAAUCCCCGGGCUCAACCUGGGAACUGCGCUUGUGACUGCACGGCUAGAGUACGGCAGAGGGGGGUGGAAUUCCACGUGUAGCAGUGAAAUGCGUAGAGAUGUGGAGGAACACCGAUGGCGAAGGCAGCCCCCUGGGCCGAUACUGACGCUCAUGCACGAAAGCGUGGGGAGCAAACAGGAUUAGAUACCCUGGUAGUCCACGCCCUAAACGAUGUCAACUAGGUGUUGGGUGGGUAAAACCAUUUAGUACCGUAGCUAACGCGUGAAGUUGACCGCCUGGGGAGUAC
rnacentral:rRNA from 1 species